UGGUGGCUAGUAUGAAUGGAAAGACGAACUUCGCGCUGUCUCUACAAGUGACCUAAAAAUUAUCCUUUAAGUGAAGAGACUUAAAUAAGCAUAAAAGACAAAAAGACCCUGUAGAGCCUCAGUAGCACAUAAACAAACUGCUUUAUUUUUACUUUAGUUGGGGCGACUUAGGAAAACUAAAAUCUUCCUAUCCUUUACUCGGUUCAUACACCCAAACUAUUGAGCCACCCUCCGUGCACAAAAACAAGGCUACCUCAGGGAUAACAGUCUAAUCUUCCUUGAGAGUCCCCAUCGACAGGAAGGAUUGGCACCUCGAUGUUGGCUUAGGGCCCCUUUAUGGUGCAGCAGCCAUAACAGUAGGUUCGUUCACCCUUUAAUGCCCU
rnacentral:rRNA from 1 species